CGAGUGGCGGACGGGUGAGUAAUGUCUGGAAAACUGCCUGAUGGAGGGGGAUAACUACUGGAAACGGUAGCUAAUACCGCAUAACGUCGCAAGACCAAAGAGGGGGACCUUCGGGCCUCUUGCCAUCGGAUGUGCCCAGAUGGGAUUAGCUAGUAGGUGGGGUAACGGCUCACCUAGGCGACGAUCCCUAGCUGGUCUGAGAGGAUGACCAGCCACACUGGAACUGAGACACGGUCCAGACUCCUACGGGAGGCAGCAGUGGGGAAUAUUGCACAAUGGGCGCAAGCCUGAUGCAGCCAUGCCGCGUGUAUGAAGAAGGCCUUCGGGUUGUAAAGUACUUUCAGCGGGGAGGAAGGUGUUGAGGUUAAUAACCUCAGCAAUUGACGUUACCCGCAGAAGAAGCACCGGCUAACUCCGUGCCAGCAGCCGCGGUAAUACGGAGGGUGCAAGCGUUAAUCGGAAUUACUGGGCGUAAAGCGCACGCAGGCGGUCUGUCAAGUCGGAUGUGAAAUCCCCGGGCUCAACCUGGGAACUGCAUUCGAAACUGGCAGGCUAGAGUCUUGUAGAGGGGGGUAGAAUUCCAGGUGUAGCGGUGAAAUGCGUAGAGAUCUGGAGGAAUACCGGUGGCGAAGGCGG
rnacentral:rRNA from 1 species